rnacentral:tRNA from 1 species
GUUCAAGUAGUUUAAUGGUAAAAUUUAACGUUGAAGCUGUUAAGAUAAUAAGUGUUUUCUUGGACA